AGCGCCUGGCGUAGCCGGGCUCGGCAGCUCGGGCUCUCUCCGGCUCUCUCCAGACUCCACGGCCAGUAGUUUGCGGCAUCGGGAGGAGCAGCAGCAGCAGUAGCGGCCGCGGGGAGCGCAGUGGGGAGACGGCCGAGCGGGCACAGACGGCAGCACGGCUCCCGCGCACCAUGCCCGGCUUGCUUGGGGGGCACUGGCACCCGCGUGCAUAACCUGGCACGGGCCCUUGGCGCGUUGCGCUCCUCAACAUUCUGGCUGAGCAGAUUCAUCGGAGAUCAGAAACCUCCCAUCCCUGCUCGCUCACACUCCCCACUCAUAUUCCCCACACCACACACCCGCUCUUCUUUUCUCUCACACAUUCACACACAGCCCAAGACCGAGAGCGCGAGACCGACCUCGCGAGUGCGCGAGCGCCGGGGAGGGAAUAAGCCCAACGCAGCGCGGCCAGCGCCUCUCCAGGAAGAUGGAAUCAAGAAGCUCUCGCAAGUAGACAAAUUGCCAUCGCCCGGUUUUCACAAACUUGACGUGGAGACUCGGGCGGCGCUGAUAACUUUGAUUUCCGAGACGCAAACGCCCGCAGUCCAACUGCUCUGUGGGGGUGAUUCCGUGCCCACCUCGGAUCCGGGACAGACGCGCCCCUCAAGCUUUCCGAAGCCAACCACAGUGCAAGGGAGCGCCCUCUCGUCUCCGCAGCCUCUCUCCCCUCCCCCUUCCUCUGCCGGCUGGGGGACUGCCAUCCUGCUCAGCCAGAUAGUCCGGCGGCUGCGGCGCUUGACAGCAACUCAAACUCCCUCUUGCAUUUCCCUUUUCUCCCCAGUAGGCCUCGAAAAGGCCAGCGUGGCCCUCCCGGACCCCGGAGGGCGCGUUCCAGGCGGGUCCUCUCUCCGCAGUGAGCCAGGAGCACUGGGGGGAGGUCCUUGCGCAUGCCAGGUGCACCGACAACGCUCUCGCCAGCCCCAACGCCGCUGCGCCGCGGCGGGCCGGGGAGUGCCUGAGAGGCUGUACCGCUACUGCAUACCCCGAUUUCGCUCCCAGUGCGGUCCAGACUUAGCAGCUCGUCGACUCGGCCGCUCAGACGUCGUCCUACCAGCAGCCCUGCGCCGCUUCGGCCAGUCGCGCCCGGCUAACUUUGAAGGGGGAAAACUGAGUAGCCGGGCUGGAGGGAGGGGGCUCGGGGC
rnacentral:lncRNA from 1 species